GAUGAACGCAGGCGGCGUGCUUAACACAUGCAAGUCGAACGGAAAGGCCCAAGCUUGCUUGGGUACUCGAGUGGCGAACGGGUGAGUAACACGUGGGUGAUCUGCCCUGCACUUCGGGAUAAGCCUGGGAAACUGGGUCUAAUACCGGAUAGGACGAUGGUUUGGAUGCCAUUGUGGAAAGUUUUUUCGGUGUGGGAUGAGCUCGCGGCCUAUCAGCUUGUUGGUGGGGUAAUGGCCUACCAAGGCGUCGACGGGUAGCCGGCGUGAGAGGGUGUACGGCCACAUUGGGACUGAGAUACGGCCCAGACUCCUGCGUGAGGCAGCAGUGGGGAAUAUUGCACAAUGGGCGCAAGCCUGAUGCAGCGACGCCGCGUGGGGGAUGACGGCCUUCGGGUUGUAAACUCCUUUCGCUAGGGACGAAGCGUUUUUGUGACGGUACCUGGAGAAGAAGCACCGGCUAACUACGUG
rnacentral:rRNA from 1 species